rfam:Schistosoma mattheei strain Denwood, Zambia genome assembly, scaffold: SMTD_scaffold0003596
ACCUUGCUGACGAGUGCCAAUUAGCACGAAACCCCGGGUCCAGGGU